rnacentral:rRNA from 1 species
CCCUUUGUGAACAUACCUUACUGUUGCUUCGGCGGGUUGGGGGACUUCUGUCCCCCCCCGGCCGCGCCCCUCGCGGGGCGUGGCGCCCGCCGGAGGAUACCAAAACUCUAUUUUAACGACGUCUCUUCUGAGUGGCACAAGCAAAUAAUUAAAACUUUUAACAACGGAUCUCUUGGUUCUGGCAUCGAUGAAGAACGCAGCGAAAUGCGAUAAGUAAUGUGAAUUGCAGAAUUCAGUGAAUCAUCGAAUCUUUGAACGCACAUUGCGCCCGCCAGCAUUCUGGCGGGCAUGCCUGUUCGAGCGUCAUUUCAACCCUCAAGCUCCGCUUGGUGUUGGGGCCCUACGGUUGACGUAGGCCCUUAAAGGUAGUGGCGGACCCUCCCGGAGCCUCCUUUGCGUAGUAACUAACGUCUCGCAUCGGGAUCCGGAGGGACUCUUGCCGUAAAACCCCC